rnacentral:rRNA from 1 species
CCUACGGGAGGCUGCCGUGAGGAAUAUUUGUCAAUGGACGGAAGUCUGAACCAGCCAUGCCGCGUGCAGGAAGACGGCUCUAUGAGUUGUACACUGCUUUUGUACAAGGGUAAACCUGAAUACGUGUAUUUAGCUGAAAGUACUGUACGAAUAAGGAUCGGCUAACUCCGUGCCAGCAGCCGCGGUAAUACGGAGGAUCCAAGCGUUAUCCGGAUUUAUUGGGUUUAAAGGGUGCGUAGGUGGAUUGAUAAGUCAGUGGUGAAAUGUUCGAGCUUAACUCGGGAAUUGCCUUUAAUACUGUUGAUCUAGAGAGUAGAUGCGGUAGGCGGAAUGUGUGGUGUAGCGGUGAAAUGCUUAGAGAUCAUACAGAACACCGAUUGCGAAGGCAGCUUACCAAUCUAUAUCUGACGUUGAGGCACGAAAGCGUGGGGAGCAAACAGGAUUAGAUACCCUAGUAGUC